rnacentral:rRNA from 1 species
UACAGAGGGUGCAAGCGUUGUUCGGAAUUAUUGGGCGUAAAGGGCGCGUAGGCGGUGCGGUAAGUCUGUAGUGAAAUCUCUGGGCUCAACUCAGAGUCUGCUGCAGAAACUGCCGUGCUUGAGUGUGGGAGAGGUGAGUGGAAUUCCCAGUGUAGCGGUGAAAUGCGUAGAUAUUGGGAGGAACACCAGUGGCGAAGGCGGCUCACUGGACUGGUACUGACGCUGAGGCGCGAAAGCGUGGGGAGCAAACGGG